rnacentral:rRNA from 1 species
GACGAACCGUCCUAACGUUGUUCGGAAUCACUGGGCUUAAAGGGCGCGUAGGCGGCUUGCCAAGUCAGGGGUGAAAUCCUGCAGCUUAACUGUAGAAGGGCCUUUGAUACUGGCGAGCUCGAGGGAGGUAGGGGUAUGUGGAACUUCCGGUGGAGCGGUGAAAUGCGCAGAUAUCAGGAGGAACACCGAUGGCGAAGGCAGGUCUCUGGGCCACUACUGACGCUGAGAAGCGAAAGCAUGGGGAGCGAACAGG